UUAAGUUAUUAAGGGCGCACGGUGGAUGCCUUGGCACUAGAAGCCGAUGAAGGACGUUACUAACGACGAUAUGCUUUGGGGAGCUGUAAGUAAGCUUUGAUCCAGAGAUUUCCGAAUGGGGAAACCCAGCAUGAGUUAUGUCAUGUUAUCGAUAUGUGAAUACAUAGCAUAUCAGAAGGCACACCCGGAGAACUGAAACAUCUUAGUACCCGGAGGAAGAAAAAGAAAAUUCGAUUCCCUUAGUAGCGGCGAGCGAAACGGGAAGAGCCCAAACCAACAAGCUUGCUUGUUGGGGUUGUAGGACACUCUAUACGGAGUUACAAAGGACGACAUUAGACGAAUCAUCUGGAAAGAUGAAUCAAAGAAGGUAAUAAUCCUGUAGUCGAAAAUGUUGUCUCUCUUGAGUGGAUCCUGAGUACGACGGAGCACGUGAAAUUCCGUCGGAAUCUGGGAGGACCAUCUCCUAAGGCUAAAUACUCUCUAGUGACCGAUAGUGAACCAGUACCGUGAGGGAAAGGUGAAAAGCACCCCGGAAGGGGAGUGAAAUAGAACCUGAAACCGUGUGCUUACAAGUAGUCAGAGCCCGUUAAUGGGUGAUGGCGUGCCUUUUGUAGAAUGAACCGGCGAGUUACGAUUUGAUGCAAGGUUAAGCAGUAAAUGUGGAGCCGUAGCGAAAGCGAGUCUGAAUAGGGCGUUUAGUAUUUGGUCGUAGACCCGAAACCAGGUGAUCUACCCUUGGUCAGGUUGAAGUUCAGGUAACACUGAAUGGAGGACCGAACCGACUUACGUUGAAAAGUGAGCGGAUGAACUGAGGGUAGCGGAGAAAUUCCAAUCGAACCUGGAGAUAGCUGGUUCUCUCCGAAAUAGCUUUAGGGCUAGCCUCAAGUGAUGAUUAUUGGAGGUAGAGCACUGUUUGGACGAGGGGCCCCUCUCGGGUUACCGAAUUCAGACAAACUCCGAAUGCCAAUUAAUUUAACUUGGGAGUCAGAACAUGGGUGAUAAGGUCCGUGUUCGAAAGGGAAACAGCCCAGACCACCAGCUAAGGUCCCAAAAUAUAUGUUAAGUGGAAAAGGAUGUGGCGUUGCCCAGACAACUAGGAUGUUGGCUUAGAAGCAGCCAUCAUUUAAAGAGUGCGUAAUAGCUCACUAGUCGAGUGACACUGCGCCGAAAAUGUACCGGGGCUAAACAUAUUACCGAAGCUGUGGAUUGUCCUUUGGACAAUGGUAGGAGAGCGUUCUAAGGGCGUUGAAGCAUGAUCGUAAGGACAUGUGGAGCGCUUAGAAGUGAGAAUGCCGGUGUGAGUAGCGAAAGACGGGUGAGAAUCCCGUCCACCGAUUGACUAAGGUUUCCAGAGGAAGGCUCGUCCGCUCUGGGUUAGUCGGGUCCUAAGCUGAGGCCGACAGGCGUAGGCGAUGGAUAACAGGUUGAUAUUCCUGUACCACCUAUAAUCGUUUUAAUCGAUGGGGGGGACGCAGUAGGAUAGGCGAAGCGUGCGAUUGGAUUGCACGUCUAAGCAGUAAGGCUGAGUAUUAGGCAAAUCCGGUACUCGUUAAGGCUGAGCUGUGAUGGGGAGAAGACAUUGUGUCUUCGAGUCGUUGAUUUCACACUGCCGAGAAAAGCCUCUAGAUAGAAAAUAGGUGCCCGUACCGCAAACCGACACAGGUAGUCAAGAUGAGAAUUCUAAGGUGAGCGAGCGAACUCUCGUUAAGGAACUCGGCAAAAUGACCCCGUAACUUCGGGAGAAGGGGUGCUCUUUAGGGUUAACGCCCAGAAGAGCCGCAGUGAAUAGGCCCAAGCGACUGUUUAUCAAAAACACAGGUCUCUGCUAAACCGUAAGGUGAUGUAUAGGGGCUGACGCCUGCCCGGUGCUGGAAGGUUAAGAGGAGUGGUUAGCUUCUGCGAAGCUACGAAUCGAAGCCCCAGUAAACGGCGGCCGUAACUAUAACGGUCCUAAGGUAGCGAAAUUCCUUGUCGGGUAAGUUCCGACCCGCACGAAAGGCGUAACGAUUUGGGCACUGUCUCAACGAGAGACUCGGUGAAAUCAUAGUACCUGUGAAGAUGCAGGUUACCCGCGACAGGACGGAAAGACCCCGUGGAGCUUUACUGUAGCCUGAUAUUGAAAUUCGGCACAGCUUGUACAGGAUAGGUAGGAGCCUUUGAAACGUGAGCGCUAGCUUACGUGGAGGCGCUGGUGGGAUACUACCCUAGCUGUGUUGGCUUUCUAACCCGCACCACUUAUCGUGGUGGGAGACAGUGUCAGGCGGGCAGUUUGACUGGGGCGGUCGCCUCCUAAAAGGUAACGGAGGCGCUCAAAGGUUCCCUCAGAAUGGUUGGAAAUCAUUCAUAGAGUGUAAAGGCAUAAGGGAGCUUGACUGCGAGACCUACAAGUCGAGCAGGGUCGAAAGACGGACUUAGUGAUCCGGUGGUUCCGCAUGGAAGGGCCAUCGCUCAACGGAUAAAAGCUACCCCGGGGAUAACAGGCUUAUCUCCCCCAAGAGUUCACAUCGACGGGGAGGUUUGGCACCUCGAUGUCGGCUCAUCGCAUCCUGGGGCUGUAGUCGGUCCCAAGGGUUGGGCUGUUCGCCCAUUAAAGCGGUACGCGAGCUGGGUUCAGAACGUCGUGAGACAGUUCGGUCCCUAUCCGUCGUGGGCGUAGGAAAUUUGAGAGGAGCUGUCCUUAGUACGAGAGGACCGGGAUGGACAUACCUCUGGUGUACCAGUUGUCGUGCCAACGGCAUAGCUGGGUAGCUAUGUGUGGACGGGAUAAGUGCUGAAAGCAUCUAAGCAUGAAGCCCCCCUCAAGAUGAGAUUUCCCAACUUCGGUUAUAAGAUCCCUCAAAGAUGAUGAGGUUAAUAGGUUCGAGGUGGAAGCAUGGUGACAUGUGGAGCUGACGAAUACUAAUCGAUCGAAGACUUAAUCAA
rnacentral:rRNA from 1 species